GGCAGGAUGGCCUAGUGGAUAGAGCGCCGGCAUGGGACUCCGAACGCCUGAGUUCUAGUCCCAGUUCUGCCA
rfam:Chelonia mydas contig236614, whole genome shotgun sequence.